rnacentral:rRNA from 1 species
UGGCCGUCCGAGUUGUAAUCUAGAGAAGUGUUACCCGNGUCGGACCGUGUACAAGUCUCCUGGAAUGGAGCGUCAUAGAGGGUGAGAAUCCCGUCUUUGACACGGACUACCGAGGCUUUGUGGUGCGCUCUCAAAGAGUCGAGUUGUUUGGGAAUGCAGCUCAAAAUGGGUGGUAAAUUCCAUCUAAAGCUAAAUAUUGGCGAGAGACCGAUAGCGAACAAGUACCGUGAGGGAAAGAUGAAAAGAACUUUGGAAAGAGAGUUAAACAGUACGUGAAAUUGCUGAAAGGGAAACGCUUGAAGUCAGUCGCGUCCUCCGGGAAUCAGCCUUCCUUCUGGUUGGUGUACUUCCUGGUGGACGGGCCAGCAUCAGUUUUGACCGGUGGAAAAAGUUCAAGGGAAUGUGGCACCUUCGGGUGUGUUAUANCCCUNGUUCGUAUACAUCGGUUGGGACUGANGAACUCAGCACGCCNCAAGGCCGGGAUUC